rnacentral:rRNA from 1 species
CCCUUAGAGUUUGAUCCUGGCUCAGAGCGAACGCUGGCGGCAGGCUUAACACAUGCAAGUCGAGCGGGCGUAGCAAUACGUCAGCGGCAGACGGGUGAGUAACGCGUGGGAACAUACCUUUUGGUUCGGAACAACACAGGGAAACUUGUGCUAAUACCGGAUAAGCCCUUACGGGGAAAGAUUUAUCGCCGAAAGAUUGGCCCGCGUCUGAUUAGCUAGUUGGUGAGGUAACGGCUCACCAAGGCGACGAUCAGUAGCUGGUCUGAGAGGAUGAUCAGCCACAUUGGGACUGAGACACGGCCCAAACUCCUACGGGAGGCAGCAGUGGGGAAUAUUGGACAAUGGGCGCAAGCCUGAUCCAGCCAUGCCGCGUGAGUGAUGAAGGCCCUAGGGUUGUAAAGCUCUUUUGUGCGGGAAGAUAAUGACGGUACCGCAAGAAUAAGCCCCGGCUAACUUCGUGCCAGCAGCCGCGGUAAUACGAAGGGGGCUAGCGUUGCUCGGAAUCACUGGGCGUAAAGGGUGCGUAGGCGGGUCUUUAAGUCAGGGGUGAAAUCCUGGAGCUCAACUCCAGAACUGCCUUUGAUACUGAAGAUCUUGAGUUCGGGAGAGGUGAGUGGAACUGCGAGUGUAGAGGUGAAAUUCGUAGAUAUUCGCAAGAACACCAGUGGC